rnacentral:snRNA from 1 species
GGACGUGAGGGCGACCUGGCUGUGACAUCUGUCACCCCAUUGAUUGCCAGGAUUGAUUUGGUUGAUCUGGCUGACCAGGUGGGUGUCCCCUUUCCACCUUACCCCUCCAUGUGCAUCCCUCCUGAAGCUCCACACUUGGUUGAAGAUGAUGACCAUCCCUGCCAGAGAGGACCGUUCUUCAAUCAAGGGUAUACGAGUAGCUGCACUCUUGCUGCUAGAACCUCUAAACAAGCUCUCAAGAGGUGAGGUCUUUAGGAGGUGAAUGAGUUAUGAGGGCAGAGUUACUAUUAAAAGGGUUGUUGGGAGUGAGUGGGGCUGUUGAGUUUGCUCUCAAGCUCUUCUGCCAGGUAAGGAACAGCAUUCCUCUUCUC